rnacentral:rRNA from 2 species
ACGGGAGCAAUCCUGGUGGCGAGUGGCGAACGGGUGAGUAAUAUAUCGGAACGUGCCCAGUCGUGGGGGAUAACGUAGCGAAAGCUACGCUAAUACCGCAUACGAUCUAUGGAUGAAAGCGGGGGACUCGUAAGGGCCUCGCGCGAUUGGAGCGGCUGAUAUCAGAUUAGGUAGUUGGUGGGGUAAAGGCCUACCAAGCCUGCGAUCUGUAGCUGGUCUGAGAGGACGACCAGCCACACUGGAACUGAGACACGGUCCAGACUCC